ACAAGUAGCGUAAACGUUAAUGAGAAAUUUUCGAGCCGAAAAUCCAAGGUUUCCUACGCAACUUGAUUAGGCGUAGGGUUAGUCGGUGCCUAAGGCGAGGGUGAAAACCGUAGUCGAUGGAAAGACUGUUAAUAUUCAGUCACUUUAUUGAAGGACAGGGUG
rnacentral:rRNA from 1 species